UAAAGGCACAUGCCUAUCACCCCGUUAAUGGGGAUGAUAAGACUGAUAGAUGGCUUGAGGUCAGGAGAUUUGAGCUGCAAUGUGCUAAGCAAAUCAAAUGUCCACACUAAGUCUGGCCUUCAAAAUGGUGAGCCCCUUAGAGUUGGUGUACGCCAGUUUGUUAAAGGAGAGGUAAACCAGCCCAGGGAAGAAAUGGAGGGUCAAAACUCCAGUACUUAUCAUCAGUGGGAUCAGGCCCAUGAGUGGCUGUUGCAUUUCCAGCCUGGGUGGGAUAGAGGCCCGUCUUAA
rnacentral:SRP_RNA from 1 species